rnacentral:rRNA from 1 species
UAGGGAAUUUUCCACAAUGGACGAAAGUCUGAUGGAGCGACGCCGCGUGCAGGAUGAAGGCCCUCGGGUUGUAAACUGCGGUAGUAGGGGAGGAACGCAAGUGACUGUACCCUACGGAAAGUGGUUGGUAACUACGUGCCAGCACCAGCGGUAAUACGUAGACCACAAGCGUUAUCCGGAUUUAUUGGGCGUAAAGAGCAUGUAGGAGGUCCGGUGCGUCUCUGGUUAAAGCCCACCGCCUAACGGUGGAAGUGCCAGAGAUACGAUCGGACUGGAGGAUGUGAGAGGUGCAUGGAACUCACGGUGUAGGGGUGAAAUCCGUUGAUAUCGUGGGGAACACCAAAGGCGAAGGCAGUGCACUGGUACAUUCCUGACUCUGAGAUGCGAAAGCGUGGGGAGCAAAAAGGAUUAGAUACCCUGGUAGUCCCUGAGCGGGCUGGCAAGGCGCAU